CGUUGAAUACGUUCCCGGGUCUUGUACACACCGCCCGUCACGUCACGGAAGUCGCCAACACCCGAAGUGCCUACUUUGCUAGGCCCUAAGGGUGGGGUGGUAACUGGGAUGAA
rnacentral:rRNA from 1 species